AAUCAACGCUGGCGGCGUGCCUAACACAUGCAAGUCGAACGAGAAAGUGGAGCAAUCCAUGAGUAAAGUGGCGACCGGGUGAGUAACACGUGACUAACCUACCUUUCAGUGGGGAAUAACCUCGGGAAACCGGGGCUAAUACCGCAUAAUGUCUUCGGACCAAAGGAGCAAUUCGCUGGAAGAGGGGGUCGCGGCCGAUUAGCUAGUUGGCGGGGUAACGGCCCACCAAGGCAAUGAUCGGUAGCCGGCCUGAGAGGGCGCACGGCCACACUGGAACUGAAACACGGUCCAGACUCCUACGGGAGGCAGCAGUGGGGAAUUUUGCGCAAUGGGGGAAACCCUGACGCAGCAACGCCGCGUGGAGGAUGAAGCCCCUUGGGGUGUAAACUCCUUUCGAUCGGGACGAUUAUGACGGUACCGGAUGAAGAAGCACCGGCUAACUCUGUGCCAGCAGCCGCGGUAAUACAGAGGGUGCAAGCGUUGUUCGGAAUUAUUGGGCGUAAAGGG
rnacentral:rRNA from 1 species